AGACCUCUUGAGAGAUCUUUUGACUCCAAUUCGGACGAUGACUCUGAUUUGGAAGAUGACCCGAACAUCGAGUACGAGGAUGUAAGCGAGGAGGAAGAAAAUAGAAAAGAAAAGCUUAUAAGCGUAUGGUGCAACGAAGACGGUGGUUGUCCAAGAAAUUGUACUUGCCACAGGCGAAAACACGUGUGCAUCCCAAAAACGGCAGAAUGACACUCCCUAUACGAGCCAUUCAUAAUAAGGGUAGCCUCAUAUAUGUGUCCGUAAAGCAAUAAAAAUUUCGCCCAUAA